rnacentral:tRNA from 1 species
UCCCAGUUAGUACAAUGGUUAGUAUAGGGCACUCUCAAGUUACCGUUGUAGUAAGCGGUUGAUCUGCACUGCUCAGAUCAGGGUUCGAUUCCCUGGCCGGGAA